AUAGUUUUAUUUUCAUUUUCAGUUUUACUUCAGAGCCACAUAUAUAUAUCUAAAGAGCUACAUGUAGCUCACAAGAUGCAGUUUGCCAACUCCUGUUAUAUGAUAUACAUUGGUUUUGUUUUUAGGCUUACUAUAAGUAUAAGUGGAAUUGAGAGAAUUUUGUUAUCUUAGAAUUAUUUGAUGAUGAUGGAGAUUUUACAGCAAAAUUCAAGAUUGUCAAUAGAUGAGGAGAGAAGAAAUAUGAAUAUGUCCAAGGCCAUGUGAAUUGAGAUGCAUUGGAUGUCCAUACCAAACUAAUUCAUCUGGAAUUUUAUAAGAUAUAAAAAUAUUUAAUAAAAGAAAUCGUACAUAUUUAAUACUCUCUAAAAAUAAAUUCCUCUGUCAGGAUCUCCUAAGUACAUGGCAUUGUUCUGAAUGGUUACUUUAACUAGUGUGUUGCAACUAUAUAGUCCCAUUUGCAGAUUAUGCUUUUACCUCUCAUCUUUGGCAUUAUUCUUCUGUAUUUAGAACUAGUCAAAAUUUAUAGUUGUAGUAUGUUGGUGAUAUUUAUAUCGUCCUGAUAUUUUCCCUCAUAGGAAAUUGGAGAUUUGAAAGAUUAGUUUCUAUUUAUACUAACCACAUUGCUUUACUAUCUUGCUAGGAUUUUAUCUGUAUAAAUGUUUAACAUACUGCUGACCUGACCCAUGUUUAAAACAGUGUGGUCAGUUUGUUCUUCUCUCAAGUCUUUUUUAAGACAGGCAAACAAAUUAAAUUCAAUGUUUAUUUCUGAAUUUAAUGUAUGCAUAACUUUUUAUUGCAUAACAUGUGACUUCAUAUUAAUACAAACUCUGCUUUGGUAUUUCGGUAAAAACUAUAAAAAGUUGGGCACUUGGCAGCAGAGACGGGUGAG
rnacentral:lncRNA from 1 species